GACGAACGCUGGCGGCGUGCUUAACACAUGCAAGUCGAACGGAAAGGCCCCUUUGGGGGUACUCGAGUGGCGCACGGGUGAGUAACACGUGAGUAACCUGCCCUUGUCUUCGGGAUAACUUCAGGAAGCUGGGGCUAAUACCGGCUAGGAAUCCUUGCUGCAUGGUGGGGGUUGGACAGCUUCGGCGGUUUUGGAUGGACUCGCGGCGUAUCAGCUUGUUGGUGGGGUAGUGGCUUACCAAGGCGUUGACGGGUAGCCGGCCUGAGAGGGCGACCGGCCACAUUGGGACUGAGGUACGGCACAGACUCCUACGGGAGGCAGCAGUGGGGAAGAUUGAACAAUGGGCGGAAGCCUGAUGCAGCAACGCCGCGGGCGGGAUGACGGCCUUCGGGUUGUAAACCGCUUUCAGCAGGGGCGAAGCUUGUGGUGACGGUACCUGCAGAAGAAGCACCGGCUAACUACGUG
rnacentral:rRNA from 1 species